GUAUUCAUCGGCAUUGCCAUGAUACUCGGUGAUGGCGUAUACUUUUCUUUCAAGCUGCUGUUCCUAGUAGUAGCCAGAUAUGCUGCAAAACUUCAAGAGAAAAAUGCCAACAUGCAAAUCCCAGUGUCGCAACAUUCUUCACCUUCUACAACAUUUAAGAGCUAUGACGAACGGUGCCGUACCCAGUUCUUUCUGAAGUAUCAAGUACCAACAUGGUUUGCAAUUGGAGGUUAUAUAAUCAUUGCUUCAAUCACUACUGCGGCGCUUCCUCACAUCUUACACCAGCUGAAAUGGUACUUCUUAUUCGGAACACUUACUCGAAUCUUCCACCAGCUUAAAUGGUACUACAUAACAGUGCUCUACAUCUUCGGCCCAUCCCUGGCCUUUUGCAAUGCAUUUGGGUGUGGGCUGACAGAUUGGUCUUUAGCAUCUGCAUAUGGGAAGCUUGCCAUCUUUGCUAUUGGGGCGUGGGCGGGUGCUUCUCAUGGAGGAAUUCUUGUUAGUCUAGCAGCAUGUGGUGUCAUGAUGAACAUAGUCACCACUGCCUCCGACCUUAUGCAGGAUUUCAAGACUGGCUACUUGACUAUGUCUUCACCUCGUUCCAUGUUUGUGAGCCAAGCAAUUGGCACAGCAAUGGGAUGCGUCAUUUCUCCUUGCGUGUUUUGGAUAUUUUACAAGGCAAUUCCUGAUCUCGGGCUUCCUACGAGUAACUAUCCUGCUCCUUAUGCUACUAUUUACUACAAUAUAGCUAAGUUAGGAGUCAAAGGUCCCUCAGCACUCCCAUAUUAUUGUAUGAAGCUAUGUUACGCAUUCUUUGCAGCAGCCAUUCUCAUCAAUCUCAUUAGAGAUGUUUUAGGCAAGAAAAGGUGGUGGUUUAUUCCACUUCCAACAGCAAUGGCAAUCCCAUUUUAUUUGGGAGCAUACUUCACCAUCGACAUGUGUGUUGGAAGCCUCUUACUCUACAUUUGGCAGAAGAUAAACAAGGCUAAGGCAGAUGCUUUUGGGCCAGCCGUAGCAUCAGGUCUAAUAUGUGGAGAAGUAAUGUGGGCGUUUCCUAGUUCUGUGCUAGCUCUAGCAGGGGUCAAACCUCCCAUUUGCAUGAAGUUCCUCUCCAGGAAAACAAAUAGCAAGGUCGAUAACUUUUUACGAUCCUAGAUAAGGAAGAGAUAAUUACCUAUUACAUCUGGCGUUAGCCAGGUAUAUAGAUGAUGCAUAAUCUUGUACAACUGCUUCACNCCCGGAAAUCUCUCGGUCCUGAAAAUAGUACCCAACCCGGACCAAACACCUAUAUUGGGCCGGUUCGGUCCGGACCGAACCCGUCGGUCCGGGCGGGUUCGGCGGGGCCGGGUUGGGUUUGCACACCCCUAGUUGGAAGAGAAGAACUUUGUCGCUAGCUGGGCGAAUUACUUUGAUCAAAUCGGUAUUGAAAGCCAUUCCGGUGUUUCAAUUUUCUUUCUCCUAUAUCCCAAAAGCUGUGUUGAGUAGGCUUAACUCUCUUUUCUGUAAUUUUCUUUGGGGGAAAAUGGGGAGUCGAGUCAUAUUGCUUGGGUCAAAUGGAGUGUUCUUUGUAACAAGUAGCGAGGGGGGGCUGGGGUUUAGGAAUCUUGAGUGGUUUAACAAGGCGAUGGUUUUUAAAUGGCUUUGGAGAUAUUUGACGGAGGGCGAAGCUCUUUGGGCUAGGGUGGUCAAAUCUGUUUAGGGUGAGGUAAGCUGGGGGAAAGAGGGAGAAUGUAGGCUGGAGAACAGGGGCAGCGAGAAGAAAUGGUGGGCGAGAAUAAUUGAGAAGGGUGGGGAGUUCGAUGAGAAAUGGUUCUCGAGUUAACAUUUGUCGUCGGGUGGGUGAUGGCAUGAGGGUGAGCCUUUGGGAGGAGGUUUAGGUUGGGUGUAAACCUCUUGAAAUUUGUGUUUCCAAGGUUAUUCAAUUUAUGUCUUGAUAAAAGAGGCUUGGUGGGGGAAUCGGGCUUUUGGGAGAAUGGAGACUGGAACUAGGAGAUCGGAUGGAGAAGGGAGUUGAGAGAGAGGGAAAGAGGGAUGUGGGAGGCUUUGAGGACUUUAAUAUCUCAAGUUAUCCCUUGUGCAGGUAAGGAAGAUGACUGGCGCUGGAAAUCCGGUAAAGACGAUGCUUUUUCAACAAAAGGCAGCUUAUGAUACCAUUGCGGCUUCAAAAAGCGGGCAGGUGCCGGAGGCGGAGGUCGAGGCAGCUAAAGUCUGGAAGGCUCAGACACCUCAUAAGGCAGCAGUGACGGCGUGGCAAGGCUUGAUCAAUAGAUUGCCUCAUGUGAUAACUUGCUUAGAAAGGAAUGUUUCAAUUGGUCUCGAAGAGAGAUGGUGUAACUCAUGUGUGAUGCGAGAAGAAACGGCGGAACAUCUCUUUCUUCAUUGCCCCAAAGUUGAGAUGGUUUGGGACCAAAUUCACCAAUGGCUCAACGUAAAAACAGCCAAACCCAAAGGUAUUUUACAACACUUAAGUCUUUUGUCCUUGGAGUUAGGAAGACAAAAGGGAGAAAAUUGCUUCUUGCGAUUGUUUGGCUGAUUUGGAAGUGUAGAAACGAGAGCAGGUUUGAGGGUAGGGUGUGGGAUGCUAAGCAACUUGUUCUGAAGAUUAAGGGUAGAUUGUGGAGUUGGAACAAGAUUUACCAAAUUGUUGAUGGGAAUGUUCCUUUCUCUUCUUGGUGUACAAGCGAACACAAACUUUCUAUUUUGUAAUGUUUUAGGUAUCUCUGGUACCUAUGAUUUUUUCCUUUAUUUCAAUAAAGUAUUUUUACUGAAAUAAAAAAAAAAAAAAAAAACAAAAAAAAAAACAAUACGUAAGUAACCUCUGUUCUUUAUGGCUAUAUUCAAGUCUGGGGAGGAAAUGGAUUUCCAUUUGUGAGGUGAUGGGCUUCUUUAUUUAUUUUUUCCCGCUUAUCUUUUUGCUGCUUGGUUCUCAUUUUGUGGAGCUUUAACUUUACAUAAUCUAGGUUGGAACGACAAACUAAAGAAAUGUAUAAAUCAGCUCAUUUUGAUUCUUUUUCAUUUUUCGUGAAUGUAACUCCACAUUUAUGAUAUUUUUCCAACUUACUUUGAGCGCGUGAAGACUUCCAAGUUUCCGUGAUCAAGAGUCCAAUCAUUUGCAUAGAUAUUUCAUAAAGCGCAAAUUCUUGGGUGAGGUUGACCUCACCCUAUGAGACGGGUCGGGUCGGGUCGGAGCGCGGGUUUGACGGGUCGGGGCGCGGGUUUGACGGGUCGGGUGGGUUUUGGGCGCGGGUCUGGGAUACCAGAAAUAAAGUAUACAUUCUCAUUAAUAAAAGUAACAAUUAUUGUGAACAAAUGUAAUACUUUAGAAACAUUACAUUUCAUCAUAUCAAUAGUUACUUUUCCUCAAGACAAUGAUUAUUUAAAUUAUUAUUUGAAUUAUUUCAUCAUAUCAAUAGUUACUUUUCCUCAAGACAAUAAUUACUUGAAUUAUUAUUUAAUUUUUUUUCUAUAUUCUAUUUAUUUUCUCCGUUAUUCAAAGUAAUUGUUAUUAUAAUGAAAAGUAAUUAUUGAUAUGCAGAAAUGUAAUGUUUUUGAAAUUAUUACAUUUGUUCAUAAUAAUUGUUACUUUUAUUAAUGAUAAUGUGUACUUUAUCCCAAACUCGCGUCCAAACCCGACCCGACCCGUGCCCCGACCCGACCCGUCUCACCCCAUGAGGUUGACCUCACCCAAGACCAACUCUUCAUAAAGUAAUCUAAUAUUUCAAUUGGAUGACUGGGUCAACUAAUAACACUGAAGCUGCUUUUAUUUUGAUGGAUAAAUUUAUCCAUGGAAAAUUAUGGAUAACAAAAAUUUAUGCCUUUAAAUGUCUCAUUUAUUUUCCAACAUUUGACACAAAAAAUAGUUUUCCUUCCUUAUUUUCACUUUAAGGGUGGAUAAUAUUAUCCAUCCAUUUUUGGUGUGAUAAUAUUAUUCACCCUUGAAGUGAAAAUAAGGAAGAAAAAAUGCUCGUGUCAAAUGUUGGAAAAGAAAGGAGACAUUUCAAGGCAUAAGAUUAACGUAUGUUAUGAUUCAAGACUUGUUGGACUGUGAUAGUUACGAUUCACACAUGUUGCUAACAUAAAAUGUGCUACUUUUGAUUGUUAACCAGAAGAAGAAAUACUAUACCCUCCUAAUAAUAGGCAGAAUCAAUGGGCAAUGCAAGUGAAAUCAAUGUGGUGGAGGAUGAAAGCAGCAUAGAAUGUGGAAAACAAAAAAGCGAAGAAAACUUGAAAAAAGGAGAAGCAAAAGAAUUGGAAGAUGAAGAGUUAUCUGUGGAGAGGAUGUUCGAAAACAAGGAGGCGACAUCAUGGAGGAAGCAGUUGAGUGUGAGAGCCUUUGCUGUAGGCUUUCUGCUGUCACUACUGUUCAGCUGCAUAGUGAUGAAACUCAACCUCACCACUGGAAUCAUACCUUCACUCAAUAUAUCAGCUGCUUUACUCGGGUUCUUCUUUGUCAAGAUUUGGACCAAGUUGAUGGCGAAAUUUGGCAUGUUGACUCAUCCCUUCACGCGCCAAGAGAACACCGUCAUUCAGACCUGUGUCACUGCUUCAUCUGGCAUAGCCUUCAGCGGUAAAUAAAUACGUGUUGAAGAAGAUGACACAACUACAUAAAUAAAGUUGACAUAUUAUCAUAUGUUUUACAGGAGGAUUUGGAAGCUACAAUGAGCGAACGCGUAGCCAAACAAUCAGAGGACAGCAGAGAUGGACUGGACUACAAGAACAUAUCCCUCGGGUGGAUGAUUAUCUUUCUAGCAGCAGUUAGCUUUCUAGGACUCUUCUGUGUUGCACCUCUGAGUAAGGUGAUCUUUCUACAAUCUGCUUAUCGAAUUAGAUAUUGCAUUUUGGAGACACACAGACACAAUCCAUGUUACUAUAUCUAUAUUUAUGCUUUUAAUAUUUCAGGUCAUGAUCAUAAACUUCAAGUUGACUUAUCCAUCCGCUACUGCAACAGCAAAUCUUAUUAACAGUUUCCACACUCCUCAAGGAGUCAAACUAGCAAAGUAAGCCAGUUUAUAUAGGUUAAAGCUAUAGAGAUCCAUUUAGUAAUGUAUACGAGAGGACAAACAACUUAAAAGUUUAUAUAGCUUAUAUGGAGAUGUCAAGAGCUUGUCCGUGUUCUUUUAUCACAGAAAGCAAGUCAGGGAGUUGGGCAAGUUUUUCUCAUAUACUUUCUUGUGGGGUUUCUUUCAAUGGUUCUUCCAAACUGAGGACGACUGUGGAUUUUCAAGCUUCCCAACCUUCGGAUUGAAAGCAUUAGAAAACAGGUAAGCAUGGUCGCACAAGAACAUAUCCUUAUCUCUUGAGUUAGUUCUGUACCAUUAGAUAUAGGAAAUGUUGGAUGUUCUACCAGUAAGAAUUUAAACAAAGCACUAAAACUAUAAACUAAUUACCAUAUUUUUCCAUUCAAUUAUAGGUUCUACUUCGAUUUUUCGGCAACUUAUGUAGGAGUUGGGAUGAUUUGUCCUCGUAUCAUAAAUGUAUCUUUACUAGUCGGAGGAAUUAUUUCCUGGGGUAUUAUGUGGCCACUUAUUGAAACUCGCAAGGGCAGUUGGUAUUCUGCUGAUCUCCCUUCAAGCAGUUUACAAGGGCUUCAAGGUUAUAAGGUGCUUUUACAGUGUCCUCAUUUAGUUUCCCAUCUCCAUAAUAUAUAUGUGCAUAUAUUCAUUGUUGAGAAUACCUAUUCAAACUCAGGUAUUCAUCGGCAUUGCCAUGAUACUCGGUGAUGGCGUAUACUUUUCUUUCAAGCUGCUGUUCCUAGUAGUAGCCAGAUAUGCUGCAAAACUUCAAAGAGAAAAAUGCCAACAUAGCAAAUCCCAGUGUCGCAACAUUCUUCACCUUCUACAACAUUUAAGAGCUAUGACGAACGGUGCCGUACCCAGUUCUUUCUGAAGUAUCAAGUACCAAC
rnacentral:lncRNA from 1 species